rnacentral:rRNA from 1 species
UACGUAGGAAGCGAGCGUUGUUCGGAAUUAUUGGGCGUAAAGGGCAUGUAGGUGAUUGAACAAGUGUGGAUUGAAAGACCGUAGCUUAACUACGCGUUUGGUCUGCAAACUGUUUGACUAGAGUUCAGGAGGGGAGAGUGGAAUUCCGCGUGUAGGGGUGAAAUCUGUAGAUAUGCGGAGGAAUACCGGUGGCGAAGGCGACUCUCUGGUCUGAUACUGACACUGAUAUGCGAAAGUGUGGGGAUCAAACAGG